rnacentral:rRNA from 1 species
GGCGAACGGCUGAGUAACACGUAGGUGACCUGCCCCGAAGUGGGGGACAACUCGCCGAAAGGCGAGCUAAUACCGCAUGUGACCACCGAUUCAUUUCGGUGCUCAAAGUCGCAAGACACUACGGGAGGGGCCUGCGGCGGAUUAGCUAGUUGGUGGGGUAAUGGCCUACCAAGGCUUCGAUCCGUAGCUGGUCUGAGAGGAUGACCAGCCAGACUGGGACUGAGACACGGCCCAGACUCCUACGGGAGGCAGCAGUUAGGAAUUUUGUGCAAUGGGGGAAACCCUGACACAGCCACGCCGCGUGCGGGAUGAAGGCCUUCGGGUCGUAAACCGCUUUUAUCGAGGAAGACACCCGACGGUACUCGAUGAAUAAGCAACGGCUAACUACGUGCCAGCAGCCGCGGUAAUACGUAGGUUGCGAGCGUUGUCCGGAUUUACUGGGUGUAAAGCGCGCGCAGGCGGUCUCGAAAGUCUACGGUGAAAGCUCCCGGCCCAACUGGGAGAGGCCCGCGGAAACUUCGGGACUUGAAGGCGGGAGAGGCAAAUGGAAUUUCCGGUGUAGCGGUAAAAUGCGUAGAUACCGGAAGGAACACCAGUGGCGAAGGCGAUUUGCUGGCCCGCCCUUGACGCUCAGGCGCGAAAGCUAGGGGAGCGACCGGGAUUAGAUACCCCGUUAGUCCUAGCCGUAAACAAUGGUCACUAGGUGUUGUGGGUAUCGACCCCCGCAGUGCCGAAGCUAACGCAUUAAGUGACCCACCUGGGGAGUACGGCCGCAAGGCUAAAACUCAAAGGAAUUGACGG